rnacentral:rRNA from 1 species
UACGUAGGGCGCAAGCGUUAUCCGGAAUUAUUGGGCGUAAAGGGCUCGUAGGCGGUUUGUCGCGUCGGGAGUGAAAACCCAGGGCUUAAACUCUGGGCUGGCUUUCGAUACGGGCAGACUGAGAGGUAUGCAGGGGGAGAACGGAAUUCCGUGGUGUAGCUGGUGAAAUGCGGCAGAAUAUCAGGAGGAACACCGGUGGCGA